AAAAAUUUCCCACGUAUUUGGUCUGGAGCACCUCUCCUGUGAAGACAGGCUGAAGGAGUUGGGGUUGUUCAGCCUGGAGAAGAGAAGGCUCCAGGGAUACCAUACAGUGGCUUUCCAGUACCUAAUGGGGGCCUACAGGAAAGCAGGAGAGGGACUCUUUGUCA